UACGAAGGGGGCUAGCGUUGUUCGGAAUUACUGGGCGUAAAGCGCGCGCAGGCGGCUAUCCAAGUCAGUGGUGAAAGCCCGGAGCUCAACUCCGGAACUGCCAUUGAAACUGUUUAGCUUGAGGAUGAGAGAGGUGAGUGGAAUUCCCAGUGUAGAGGUGGAAUUCGUAGAUAUUAGGAAGAACACCAGUGGCGAAGGCGGCUUACUGGUCCGGAACUGACGCUGAGGUGCGAAAGCGUGGGGAGCAAACAGG
rnacentral:rRNA from 1 species